rnacentral:lncRNA from 1 species
GAUCAUGUUGGUCAUUGGUGACUAUUUCUCACGUUAUGACUUUUAGUGAGUCCAGUCCCUUCUACGUGUGACCAUCAUCCCCGACCUUUUCAGUGGAGGAUGUGUUACCUCACUUUUCCCGACACUCCUAUCACUAUCGUUGAGCCCCAAUCCAUUCCUCGUACUGCUCCUGCUUCUCCAAUUAUUAAAGAUUCAGCACCAUCAUCUCCUAUGAUUUCCUCACUUCGCUUAUCACGGGAUUCUAAACUUUCAUCACCGGUGACUUGUCUCCAUAACCUGAGUUUAUCUCGAGGAUUCUUGCUCGUAUUCUUCCACAUUUGACUCACUUUUAUACGCGUCGUUCGUGUGUUGUGGAUGCAUCUACUGAUGUGCCAUCUUCUCCGUCUCGGCCUUCUUAUGGCUUGCGACCUCGUCCACUUUUGCCUGUUGACCGCCUUAGGCUAUGAAACGUUGGCGCUGUUAGGAAGUAUUAGUAUUAGUCUAUUAGUAUUAG